rnacentral:snoRNA from 1 species
GACUGGGCCUUUCUCAUCAUGUCCCAUGCCAGAGCAAACCAUAGGCCCAAACCAUUGCCUGGCCUCCUAGCCCAUAGGCUUCUGGCACUGAAGCGGGUUGCACAGGG